GACGAACGCUGGCGGCGUGCCUAAUACAUGCAAGUCGAACGCAGUGGGGACGGGUGAGUAACACGUGGGUAACCUCCCAUCAGAGGGGAUAACACUUGGAAACAGGUGCUAAACCGAUAUUGAUGGCUGGACCCGCGGUGCAUUAGCUAGUUGGUGAGGUAACGGCUCACCAGGGCCACGAUGCAUAGCCGGCAUGAGAGGGGGAUCGGCAACACUGGAACUGAGCACCGGCCCAGACUCCUACGGGGGGCAGCAGUGGGGAAUCUUCGGAAAUGGACGAAAGUCUGACCGAGCAACGCCGCGGGAGUGAAGAAGGUUUUCGGAGCGUAAAACUCUGUUGUUAGAGAAGCGGUAUCUAACCAGAAAGCCAUGGCUAACUACGUGCCAGCCGCCGCGGUAAUAC
rnacentral:rRNA from 1 species